CAGUGGUGACGUGGCCAGGGCUGUGUCGACACCAGGGUGGUGUUGGUUGUGUGGGGUGCACCUGGGUCCUGUGUUGGCCUUUGAAGGGGUUGUGCGGGGUGCGCCAGGUUCCUGUGGUGUCCUUCUAAGCUGGGAAGGUUUAGGAUGCAUAGUGGAUGUCCAGUGACGGGAGGUACCGCCUGCUCACGAUACGAGGCACAUGUCAGCACCAGGUGGUUUGCUGGGGAAAUUAUUCCAACUGGCACUUGCAGCUUGAAACGCUUUGGGAAUUCAAGUUCAGACGCCCUGCCCGGUUUAUCAUUGGUCAUCCUACACUACUACUUGAUGCUACUACUACUAUUAUUUACUGCUACUACUAAUACUUCAUGCUACUACUACUACCACUACUACUACUGCUACUACUACUACUACUACUACUACUACUAUUACUACUACUUGCUACUUUUACUACUUGCUACUUUUACUACCUGCUACUUCUACUACUUUCUACUACUUGCUACUUCUACUACUACUACUACUACUACAAGUACUACUACAACCACCACCACCACCACCACCACCAGCACCACCAGUCCCAAUAGGAAAUCACAAUGACGAGGGCAGCCAGGGAUGUAUGUCUCCGUGCUCCCUGUCGACUGCCGCCGUCCAUGCCACGCGGUGCCUGGCCGCCGCCUCAUAACACUGCUGGUUUGUGGAUUUCUGCAUUCUUAUGGUGUCGCCUUACAACCUCGC